CGAAAGCCUGACGGAGCAAGACCGCGUGAGGGAGGAAGGCUCUUGGGUUGUAAACCUCUUUUCUCAGGGAAGAAGCUCUGACGGUACCUGAGGAAUCAGCCUCGGCUAACUCCGUGCCAGCAGCCGCGGUAAUACGGAGGAGGCAAGCGUUAUCCGGAAUUAUUGGGCGUAAAGCGUCCGCAGGUGGCCAUUUAAGUCUGCUGUCAAAGACCGGGGCUCAACUCCGGGUCGGCAGUGGAAACUGGAUGGCUAGAGUACGGUAGGGGUAGAGGGAAUUCCCGGUGUAGCGGUGAAAUGCGUAGAGAUCGGGAAGAACACCGGUGGCGAAGGCGCUCUACUGGACCGUGACUGACACUCAGGGACGAAAGCUAGGGGAGCG
rnacentral:rRNA from 1 species